rnacentral:misc_RNA from 1 species
AUUAAAGGUAGAAAUAGAUACAAAAUGUAUGGUGGAGUUCCGGAGGAUAGGUGGGCGUCUCCUCUAGGAAAGAAGACGACCUAUAAAAUGCCUAUCUUGGGAUGGACCUCCAUAACGAGGCGAGUAUGGGCCGCCUCUGAUAAGCCCGUCUUCUCCUCGGUUGUUCGGACCCGUUAGGUCUUCAGACCACCGAACUAGGAGAAGGUCACUCCGAUAAAAAACCAAACAAAAUAGAUAAUGGGCAACAUCAAAACGAUCUCAGUGGGAUCGGAUACCACGGACCGGCAGCGGAGUGUUCGAGGUCCUGACACAUCGCGAUCAUCAUCAAGCAAGGGACUACGACCCAUGGCAUCUGUCACGAGCGCGAUAUCAAUGUUUGAAUUGAUGAUAAAAAUUAUGCGGUAUUUAUGGAAUGCAGUGCUCAAAUUAUUGCAUGCAAUUGAAGACCGAUUGUUACUCUGAAACACCAGAUGCGCGAGGAGCGGAGGCAGAAGCGGCAAGAGCAGCAGGUCUUCCGCGGUCAGAUCGAGACCCGUUUUCUGGAGCGAGAGGCAGCUCUGAAGCAUUUGAAGGAACGGAUCGGCCGCACACAGCUAAGUCGUUCUGAUAAUAUUUCCGCGAACAAAAUUCCGACGCGCGAUGUGGCGCGAGCAAAUUUUCCGAACGUCUUAAUUAACGCGAGGAAAUCGAGCGUCGAUCGGUUUGAGAGUUAAAUCCGACAGUAGUGUGAAAACGGUGGCAUUGGCGCGUUCAGUUUUGGAUGGGUUGAACGCGGAAAAUGGUGAAUUAACGUUUUCGGAAAUUAAAUCCGAAUUAGAAUUGCGUUUCGGCGAGAGCGAGCUCGCGCAAAGUUUUUAUUUACAAUUUACGAAUCGUCUCCAGUGAAAGAUUACGCGACGUUGAAUGCUCUCAAAACGUGCGGGAUAAAAUCGCGUGCUCGCAGUUCGUUGCACCGAUGUGAACCCCUGGCGCCCAACAUUGUUAAAAAAAAAAAGAACUAUGUAGUUCGAUUGUACUUCGUUUGUACCCGUUUGUACCUCUAUUAAAAUCGUUUAUAACUCAAAAAGUUAAAAAAUACCAGGGGGUAAUAAAAUGGUCAGCGCCCAACUAUAAAUUUUUUUAAUUCUGCUUAUGCCAUUCGAAAGAGAAUCGUUUGUACCCGUUUGUACCUCCGUUAAAAUCGUUUAUACCUCAAAGGGACCGGAAGUAUAGGCUUUUCAAACGAUAACGCGGGUGUCGUGUUCGGAAACAGAAGAAAAAAAAACGUAUCUUGAUUGAUCUCGGCAAGAAGGGAUCUACUUUUGUUUAAAAAAAGAGGGGAUAAAUUUGAUUUUCUUUUAAAAAGUUGUUGUUGUCUGUUUUGUAAUAUUUUACAGAAUUUGUUGCGGUUAAUUUGGAAACGCUCAGGCUGAAAAUUGACGUGGGAAGCAGAAGAAAAAAAAACAUUUAAAGAAGACCGUCUCGCUCACGGUUUUCGACCGUGGUUUUCCGUGAGACUAUGGGCGAAUGCCGAGACGGGGACAAGGGUACCCUUUCAGGGCGUAAGGAGUCCACGGGAAGUUACCUCCCCCUUGUCCGAAGAACAAGGAAGAAGAGCGCAAGACCCGGUGUGGAAAAGGAAGAAGACUCGAUGGGAAAGGAGCACGGGGACGGAAAGAAGGAUACUCGUGACAUAUCAUUGUAUCUGACGUCCAAAUUUAAUCGUUUUACAUUUUUUGAAAUAUUUGUCUUUUUUUGCGCUAUUUCGUCAUACGUGCGUAACAAUAAAGAUUAAAUUUCGUA